CGGUUAAAAAGCUCGUAGUUGGAUUUCUGUCGGUGAAUAUCAGUCCGCCCACAGCGGUAGGUACGUGAUAUUUCACCGGCAUCUUCCUGGGGAAUGUGUCUGCUCUUUAUUGAGUGGUACAUAAGCCAGGACUUUUACUUUGAAGAAAUGAGAGUGUUUCAAGCAGGCAUGCGCCGUGAAUACGUUAGCAUGGGAUAAUAGCAUCGGACCUCGUUCCAAAGCUGUUGGUUUCUUGGACCGAGGUAAAGGUGAAUAGGGAUUGUUGGGGGCAUUCGUAUUUGACUGUCAGAGGUGAAAUUCUUGGAUUUGUUGAAGACGGACUACUGCGAAAGCAUCUGCCAAAGAUGUUCUCAUUGAUCAAGAACGAAAGUUAGGUGAUCGAAGACGAUCAGAUACCGUCCUAGUCUUAACCAUAAACUAUGCCGACUGGAGAUCGGGGGUCGUUAAUUAUGUGACGCCCUCUGCAUCUUGAGUGAAAUCAAAGUCUUUGGGUUCCGGGGGGAGUAUGGUCGCAAGGCUGAAACUUAAAGGAAUUGACGGAAGGGCACCACCAGGAGUGGAGCCUGCGGCUUAAUUUGACUC
rnacentral:rRNA from 1 species